rnacentral:rRNA from 1 species
UACGUAGGGGGCUAGCGUUGUCCGGAAUCAUUGGGCGUAAAGAGCGUGUAGGCGGUCCGGUAAGUCCGCUGUGAAAGUCGGGGGCUCAACCCUCGAAUGCCGGUGGAUACUGUCGGGCUAGAGUGCGGAAGAGGCGAGUGGAAUUCCUGGUGUAGCGGUGAAAUGCGUAGAUAUCAGGAGGAACACCGGUGGCGAAGGCGGCUGCCUGGCCUAAGACUGACGCUGAGGUGCGAAAGCGUGGGGAGCGAACGGG